AUUCCCUGAGCUGUGAAGCUGAGAUACAGACGCACUUACGGGUGCCUCGAUGGCAGAUGAUAACCUUCUGGGCCUGGUUACCGGGACUGUCCUCUCCGAGGUGCCGGCUGCCACCUGGGCCCCCGCAACCACCUGCGCCACUCCCGCGCAGCGGCAGGUCGGCUUGCACCAGCUCGCUGAGGAAGUUAAUGUAGCCUAUGGCCAAGCGCAGCGUGUCUACUUUGGAGAGGCGCUUUUCGUAGGGUAGCGUGGGGAUGUGCGAACGCAGCCCCUCGAAGGCGUCGUUGAUGGACUGCAUGCGGCGCCGCUCUCGCACAUUAGCGGCUUGUCGCAGCUGCUGCAGCUCCGCCUCGGAGCGCACGCGUCGCCGCCGCCUUGCUGCCGCCGCUGCCGCAGCCCCGUUCAAACCACCGAGCCGCGCACCGGGGGACAGCACCGCGGCACACGGCUCGUCGCUGUCCUCCAGCGGGUCCCGAGAGGACUGGUCGGUGAAGAAAUCUUCCUCAUCAAAGUAAGGGGAUGGGAAGGUGUCCAGACCCCCGGGGAAGUGCUCCAGGAGUACGGCGUCCAUGCCCUCGGCCGCCGAGGCCCGGAAGGACGAAUGGGCUGCUCGGGGUGACGCUUUGUGAGUGAUCCGUGGCAAUUCGGGUAUCAUCUCCUAGCAACUUAUGUCUUCAGAAGCCAUGAUGAUGCGCCUUGGUCUCUGAGAACUCCUGACUCACUCUUCUCUCCAAUAGCUACGGCCACAUGAGAGUGGGUCUUCUAUCCACGGCUGUGAGCCCAGUGAGAGGAAUCAGAAUUCAACAACAAGCCUGGUUUAACUACACAUCACAGGAGUGUUCCAUAUAUUGCUCUGUCUUUUCUUCACUUCUGUCGUUUUGCACUAAUUUUCACAUAGAUGAGCUCAUUUGGUCC
ensembl:antisense Ptf1aos pancreas specific transcription factor 1a, opposite strand